rnacentral:misc_RNA from 1 species
AAGUCGUAACAAGGUCUCCGUUGGUGAACCAGCGGAGGGAUCAUUAGAGAGUAUAAUAACUCCCAAACCCAUGUGAACAUACCUCUCGUUGCCUCGGCGGAGAGGGGGACUACCCCGAAGUGACUACCCGGAGGCGCCUACCCGUUAGGCGCCACCCGGCACUCCGGGGUGCUCCCUCCCGCCGCCGCUGGCCCACGAAACUCUGUUUUUUAUAUUGUAACUCUGAAUCUUAAAACAAAUAAGUUAAAA